GGGGGGGGGGGGGGGUGGGGGGGGGAGAGGGGAGUCGAGCGGCAGCGCGGUAAGGGCUUGCUCGUACGGGUGGCGGGUGGCGGACGGGUGAGGAAUACAUGGGAGUCUGCUUUUUCGUGGGGGAUAACGUAGGGAAACUUACGCUAAUACCGCAUACGACCUACGGGUGAAAGCAGGGGAUGUUCGGACCUUGCGCGAUUGAGUGAGCCGAUGUCGGAUUAGCUAGUUGGCGGGGUAAAGGCCCACCAAGGCGACGAUCCGUAGCUGGUCUGAGAGGAUGAUCAGCCACACGAGAACUGAGACACGGUCCAGACUCCUACGGGAGGCAGCAGGGGGGAAUAUUGGACAAUGGGCGCAAGCCUGAUCCAGCCAUACCGCGUGGGUGAAGAAGGCCUUCGGGUUGUAAAGCCCUUUUGUUGGGAAAGAAAAGCAGCAGGUUAAUACCCCGCUGUUCUGACGGUACCCAAAGAAUAAGCACCGGCUAACUUCGUG
rnacentral:rRNA from 1 species